GUACACUCCUGCGGGAGGCAGCAGUGGGGAAUAUUGCACAAUGGGCGCAAGCCUGAUGCAGCCAUGCCGCGUGUAUGAAGAAGGCCUUCGGGUUGUAAAGUACUUUCAGCGGGGAGGAAGGCAAUACGGUUAAUAACCGUGUUGAUUGACGUUACCCGCAGAAGAAGCACCGGCUAACUCCGUGCCAGCAGCCGCGGUAAUACGGAGGGUGCAAGCGUUAAUCGGAAUUACUGGGCGUAAAGCGCACGCAGGCGGUCUGUCAAGUCGGAUGUGAAAUCCCCGGGCUCAACCUGGGAACUGCAUUCGAAACUGGCAGGCUUGAGUCUUGUAGAGGGGGGUAGAAUUCCAGGUGUAGCGGUGAAAUGCGUAGAGAUCUGGAGGAAUACCGGUGGCGAAGGCGGCCCCCUGGACAAAGACUGACGCUCAGGUGCGAAAGCGUGGGGAGCAAACAGGAUUAGAUACCCGGGUAGUCCCA
rnacentral:rRNA from 1 species